rnacentral:rRNA from 1 species
UACAGAGGAGCCAAGCGUUGUCCGGAUUGACUGGGCGUAAAGCGCACGCAGGCGGUUGCGCGCGUGGGGUGUGAAAUCUGGCCGCUUAACGGCCAGGCGCCAUCCCAUACGGCGCGACUGGAGUGAUGCAGAGGUCGAUGGAAUUGCCGGUGUAGUGGUGAAAUGCGUAGAUAUCGAGAGGAACACCUGCGGCGAAGGCGGGUUGCUGGGCUGACACUGACGCUGAUGCGCGAAAGCUAGGGGAGCGAACGGG